GAUGAACGCUAGCGGGAGGCUUAACACAUGCAAGUCGUGGGGCAGCACGGGGUAGCAAUAUCCUGGUGGCGACCGGCGCACGGGUGAGUAACGCGUAUGCAACCUACCCAGUACAGGGGGAUAGCCCGGAGAAAUUCGGAUUAAUACCCCAUAAUGAUAUUAAGAGGCAUCUUUUUAUAUUUAAAGCUACGGCGGUACUGGAUGGGCAUGCGUAAGAUUAGCUAGUUGGUAGGGUAACGGCCUACCAAGGCUCCGAUCUUUAGGGGUCCUGAGAGGGUGAUCCCCCACACUGGUACUGAGACACGGACCAGACUCCUACGGGAGGCAGCAGUGAGGAAUAUUGGUCAAUGGGCGCAAGCUUGAACCAGCCAUCCCGCGUGAAGGAAGAAGGCGCUAUGCGUUGUAAACUUCUUUUCCGGAGGAAUAAAAUCUUGUACGCGUACAGGACUGAAGGUACUCCGGGAAUAAGCAUCGGCUAACUCCGUGCCAGCCGCCGCGGUAAAAC
rnacentral:rRNA from 1 species